AGAGGGGGCAAGCGUUAUUCGGAAUUAUUGGGCGUAAAGGGCGCGUAGGCGGUUUUUUAAGUCAGAUGUGUAAUCCCCGAGCUUAACUUGGGAACUGCAUCUGAGACUGGAAGGCUAGAGUACUGGAGAGGGUGGUGGAAUUCCUCGUGUAGCGGUGAAAUGCGUUGAGAUGAGGAGGAACACCAGUGGCGAAGGCGGCCACCUGGACAGUAACUGACGCUGAGGCGCGAAAGUGUGGGUAGCAAACAGGAUUAGAUACCCUGGUAGUCCACGCUGUAAACGAUGAACACUUGGUGUGGAGGGAGUUGACCCCUUCCGUGCCGGAGCUAACGCGUUAAGUGUUCCGCCUGGGGAGUACGGUCGCAAGGCUG
rnacentral:rRNA from 1 species